GGCAAGGUGGCCGAGUGGUUAUGGCGGUAGACUCAAGUGAAAACAACUUGCCUGUGUACACACAGGAGUAUUCUACUCUCGAAAGAGGCAGGGGUUCGAAUCCCCUUCUUGUCA